GGAGGGCUGGCCGAGUGGCCGAUGGCGACGGUCUUGAAAACCGUUAGGGCGGUACCCAACCCGUCCUCGGGGGUUCGAAUCCCUCGCCCUCCG
rnacentral:tRNA from 1 species